CGGACUCGAGCCGCCAUCCGGCCGCGAGGUCUGGGCGCCUCUGCCCGAGGACGCUGGUUUCGAGCGGGGCCAAAGUUGACUUUGCAUAUGAAGAUACGGGGAAUAGACCACGGACCACAAAGUUAAGAAUGAUAGCAUAUAUUCUACUAGGAAAAAAAAAAAAAAAAAAAAAGCCUUCUCACCAUAUGCAGACAAAUUCCCGGACUGGAGGGAGGGAGAAUUCAGAGAGAAAAGGCUGGCCUUUCUGGAAAAUGGCUUCCCCAAGGAGCAACCUGAAGGGGGUGGCCCUGCUCCUGAAACGGAUUCUAGAAGCCCCAGAGGAUCAAGGAAACACUUGGGAGGAAGGUCUGCAUGUGGAGUACAGAGGUUUGUGUAGAGCGAAUGCUCUAGUCAAUGUCAUGGCCAAGGUUAUGGCUUGACUUGUGAGCAUUAUAGUGAAGGGAAAAUUUUUACAUAAAGCAAUGAAUGAGGUCACAAAUCAGUCAAAUCACAGUGGUGAUAAGAUGUGUGUCCUGAAAGUCGAAGAUGAGGAUGUUUUAAGAAGGGGAUAGUCCCCUGUGUCAGAAGCUGUUGUGAAAAUUAAUAAAGAGAAACUUCAUUUAAACUGGAGUGGGGAGGCCAGAAGGGAGAGCUCUCAUGCCCUACCACUCAGGGUCAAUGGUAGACCCAACAGGAAGAGAGGUACCUUUGCAGCUCCAACAGGAAGAAGGCCACUACUUUACUACCCAGCAAGAGGAUGAAUUUCUCCUCGCCCAGCAACAGCCUAGCCAAUGAGAGGCUGUCACAGUCAGCCAAUGAAAAACCAGUACACUUCAAACUCCCAGUUUCCUCCAAUGGACUCUUUGUUUAUAAUAGCCCCUCCCAACUCCGUCUCCUCUUCUAUGAAAUAGCCCUCUUCUCCUUUAGUCUCUGGACUUGCCUGUUGUUUCCCUGGGUUUGCAUGUUCUGAAUUGCAAUUCUUUGCUGUUCCCGAGUAAACCCAUUUUGCUGGGAAAGUAACUGGCUGUUUUAUUGUUUUAGGUAAAGAGUGUGGAGAGAUCAAGUAAGAGGAAUACUGGUAUUAAUGGAUUUUGAGACUGGAACCAUUGGCUAGCUUAGCAAAAGUAGUUUUGGUGGUGGGAUAGAGGUAGACUCAAAUAGUGGAGUAACUUCAGAAGAUAAUUGGCUGUGAAGGAGAGAAGAGAGAGGAAGCUGGAGAGAGUCAUGGGGUCCAGGCAGCUUUUAAAUUUAAGAUGGGAGUAGCUUAAGCAUGUGUACCUGCUGAUUGGGAGGAGUUAAAAGGGGGCAGGUUUGAGGAUACUGAAGAAAAGGGGGGUAAAGGAAAAUUUGUGAAGAAGUCAGAGGGGCUGGGAUCCAACACGCAGAAGGAGAGGUUAACCUCAGGUAGACGGAGAGACACUUCCUCCAUUUUAAAAGGGAAAAAAAAAAGGUUUGUAAGUUUGGAGAUGGGAAGUUGAGAUGGAGUCUGUGUGAUGGAGUAGAGAAUGCUUGAAAUGGACAUUUUAGAGAACAGGGGAGCAAGCUGCUUGGAUAAACAGAGUUUAAGUUCUGGACAGUUUUUUAAAAAUUAUAAAUUAUACAUGCACACAACAAUGAAAUGUUUAAAGAGAAUUGAAAGGCAUGAAAUGAAAGUGAAAGUCUCCCUCUCUUCUCAGCCUGGUCCCUCUCUACAGAUAUCAUCAUUAAUGUCAGUUUCUGUUUCUGUUUCUUUGGGUGGCUAUUUUCAUAACUCCAAAUUAUAUUACUUUGUUUUUUUCGGUA